UCCUCGCCUGAGCGAAGAACCCAUACUCGUCGACCGCCACCUGAGAAGAAAAACCCAAAUGUGCAUGAGUGGGGUGCGUCUUUCGUCCUCCCCUUUAGCCCAAAAAUCCUUAGAAGGUUUAUGAGAAGAAACGCCCAAAAAAAAAUACUCUGGUUUAUGCCAUAAUUUCAACCAAAUGCCCAGGCCGCUCAAUUGAAUGGGGCAAGACGAUCUCAUCGAGGUCUACACCAUCGUCGUCUAUACAUACUGCUAACAGCAAAUACAUAUUCCAUACAUAAAGGACAGAUGAAAUGAUUUAUGAGUUUUUGUUUGGGUAGGUUCUCUUUUCUACUUAUGUGUAAGCUUUCUUUUAUAGGUUUUUGUUGGACCACAUAGAGACUUAGAGCAGGACUAAGACUGUAAUGGAUUACAUUGUUGUCUACACAUCUUUGCUUUCUUUA